AACGAACGCUGGCGGCAUGCCUAACACAUGCCAGUCGAACGAGACCAUCGGGUCUUGUGGCGCCCGGGUGCGUAACGCGAGGGAACCUGCCCUUAGGUUUGGAAUAACUCUCAGACAGGGGUGAUAAUACCGGACAAUGUCUACGGCCCAAAGAUUUAUUGACUUUGGAUGGGCACGCGUUGGAUUAGCUAGUUGGUAGGGUAAAAGACUACUACGGCGCCGAUCCAUAGCUGGUCUGAGAGGAUGAUCAGCCACACUGGGAGUAAGACACGGCCCAGACUCCUACGGGAGGCAGCAAAGGGGAAUGUUGGACAAUGGGCGAAAGCCUGAUGCUGCUAGGCCGCUUGAGUGAUGUAAGCCUUAGGGUUGUAAAGCUCUUUUACCCGGGAUGAUAAUGACGGUACCGUGAGAGUAAGCUCCGGCUAACUCCGUG
rnacentral:rRNA from 1 species